GGUGAGAUGGCCGAGCGGUCUAAGGCGCCAGACUAGGGAGACCAGCGCAUUUGAAGCGCAAUUUUAUCUGGUCCGAAAGGGCGUGGGUUUGAAUCCCACUCUCAUCA
rnacentral:tRNA from 1 species